rnacentral:tRNA from 1 species
GGGGGAUAUGGCGAAAUCGGUAGACGCUACGGACUUUAUUAUUAUGAAUAUGAAAAAAUGGAAGAAUUUUUACGAAUCAAUUUCAAGUUGAAAUUUGAAAAAAGAAUCAAAUCAUUCACUCCAUAGUCUGAUAGAUCUUUUGAAGAGCUGAUUAAUCGGACGAGAAUAAAGAUAGAGUCCCAUUCUACAUGUCAAUACUGACAACAAUGAAAUUUAUAGUAAGAGGAAAAUCCGUCGACUUUUAAAAUCGUGAGGGUUCAAGUCCCUCUAUCCCCA